UACUGCCCCGGUUAACGGGGAGGAAGGUGGGGAUGACGUCAAGUCCUCAUGGCCCUUAUGCCCAGGGCUACACACGUGCUACAAUGGUCGGUACAAAGGGUUGCCAAGCCGCGAGGUGGAGCUAAUCCCAUAAAACCGAUCGUAGUCCGGAUCGCAGUCUGCAACUCGACUGCGUGAAGUCGGAAUCGCUAGUAAUCGUGAAUCAGAAUGUCACGGUGAAUACGUUCCCGGGCCUU
rnacentral:rRNA from 1 species